CUACGGGACGCUCCAGUGAGGAAUAUUGGACAAUGGGGGAAACCCUGAUCCAGCAAUGCCGCGUGAAUGAAGAAGGCCUUAGGGUUGUAAAGUUCUUUCACCCGUGAAGAUGAUGACGGUAACGGGAGAAGAAGCCCCGGCUAACUCUGUGCCAGCAGCCGCGGUAAGACAGAGGGGGCUAGCGUUGUUCGGAAUAACUGGGCGUAAAGGGUGCGUAGGCGGUUGUUUAAGUAAAGUGUUAAAGCUCUGGGCUCAACCCAGGAAUCGCAUUUUAAACUGGACAGCUAGAGUGUGGUAGAGGAAAGUGGAAUUUCUAGUGUAGAGGUGGAAUUCGUAGAUAUUAGAAGGAACACCAGAGGCGAAGGCGGCUUUCUGGACCACAACUGACGCUGAGGCACGAAAGCGUGGGGAGCAAACAGGAUUAGAUACCCUAGUAGUC
rnacentral:rRNA from 1 species